GACAGAGGAUGCAAGCGUUAUCCGGAAUGAUUGGGCGUAAAGCGUCUGUAGGUGGCCUUUUAAGUCCGCCGUCAAAUCCCAGGGCUCAACCCUGGACAGGCGGUGGAAACUACCAAGCUGGAGUACGGUAGGGGCAGAGGGAAUUUCCGGUGGAGCGGUGAAAUGCGUAGAGAUCGGAAAGAACACCAACGGCGAAGGCACUCUACUGGGCCAUUACUGACACUGAGAGACGAAAGCUAGGGGAGCAAAUGGG
rnacentral:rRNA from 1 species